GAUAGAUAAUAGACAGUAACAGCAGUAUACUGUAGGUAGGGGUAAAGGAUAGAUAAUAGACAGUAACAGCAGUAUACUGUAGGUAGGGGUAAAGGAUAGAUAAUAGACAGUAACAGCAGUAUACUGUAGGUAGGGGUAAAGGAUAGAUAAUAGACAGUAACAGCAGUAUACUGUAGGUAGGGGUAAAGGAUAGAUAAUAGACAGUAACAGCAGUAUACUGUAGGUAGGGGUAAAGGAUAGAUAAUAGACAGUAACAGCAGUAUACUGUAGGUAGGGGUAAAGGAUAGAUAAUAGACAGUAACAGCAGUAUACUGUAGGUAGGGGUAAAGGAUAGAUAAUAGACAGUAACAGCAGUAUACUGUAGGUAGGGGUAAAGGAUAGAUAAUAGACAGUAACAGCAGUAUACUGUAGGUAGGGGUAAAGGAUAGAUAAUAGACAGUAACAGCAGUAUACUGUAGGUAGGGGUAAAGGAUAGAUAAUAGACAGUAACAGCAGUAUACUGUAGGUAGGGGUAAAGGAUAGAUAAUAGACAGUAACAGCAGUAUACUGUAGGUAGGGGUAAAUGAUAGAUAAUAGACAGUAACAGCAGUAUACUGUAGGUAGAGGUAAAGGAUAGAUAAUAGAGACUAACAGCAGUAUACUGUAGGUAGGGGUAAAGGAUAGAUAAUAGACAGUAACAGCAGUAUACUGUAGGUAGGGGUAAAGGAUAGAUAAUAGACAGUAACAGCAGUAUACUGUAGGUAGGGGUAAAUGAUAGAUAAUAGACAGUAACAGCAGUAUACUGUAGGUAGGGGUAAAGGAUAGAUAAUAGACAGUAACAGCAGUAUACUGUAGGUAGGGGUAAAUUAUAGAUAAUAGACAGUAACAGCAGUAUACUGUAGGUAGGGGUAAAGGAUAGAUAAUAGACAGUAACAGCAGUAUACUGUA